GCAGCGUGGCUAAUUGGGUGGCUAGCUUUAGCCGACGGGCAAAAUGUAAAAAUAAGUAAAAAAUAAAGUUAAAAAAAAAAUGGUGCUAACAGUACUUAUACUUCACACUUUUAAUAAAUCUCUCCUCCUUCAAUCAAGCCCUGAAUAAAAACGUUUCACCAUUCUUCAACCCCACACUAAUUGCACCCAGCAAUUUUUCAUCUAUGACAAAGGUUGGCUAGCUCUCAUGAAUAAAAAUUGCCUUUCAAGGACGACACAAAAUGGCUGAACAUCAAACCAACACGACAUUGAGUUCUCUCGACUGCUGCCAGUUGGCAUCGUCAGCUGUGCUAAAGUAUGGCGGAGAACGGCUCGAUUAAUUAUGGAGGCCACGUUGUGCUGACACGGC